GCCCCUAUCGUCUAGUGGUUCAGGUCAUCUCUCUUUCAAGGAGGCAGCGGGGACUUCCCCUGGGGGUA
rnacentral:tRNA from 1 species